rnacentral:rRNA from 1 species
CAGCAGCCGCGGUAAUACAGAGGGUGCGAGCGUUAAUCGGAUUUACUGGGCGUAAAGCGUGCGUAGGCGGCUAAUUGAGUCGGAUGUGAAAUCCCCGAGCUUAACUUGGGAAUUGCAUUCGAUACUGGUUAGCUAGAGUGUGGGAGAGGAUGGUAGAAUUCUAGGUGUAGCGGUGAAAUGCGUAGAGAUCCGGAGGAAUACCGAUGGCGAAGGCAGCCAUCUGGCCUAACACUGACGCUGAGGUACGAAAGCAUGGGGAGCAAACAGGAUUAGAUACCCCGGUAGUCCCUGUCUCUUAUAC